rnacentral:rRNA from 1 species
UACGGAGGGAGCUAGCGUUGUUCGGAAUGACUGGGCGUAAAGCGCGCGUAGGCGGAUCAUCAAGUCGGGGGUGAAAUCCCGGGGCUCAACCCCGGAAUGGCCUUCGAGACUGGUGGUCUUGAGUUCGAGAGAGGUGAGUGGAAUUCCGAGUGUAGAGGUGAAAUUCGUAGAUAUUCGGAAGAACACCAGUGGCGAAGGCGGCUGACUGGACAUGUAUUGACGCUGAGGUGCGAAAGCGUGGGGAGCAAACAGG